rnacentral:rRNA from 1 species
GGAAUUGCUAGUAAUGGCAGGUCAGCAUACUGCCGUGAANACGUUCCCGGGCCUUGUACACACCGCCCGUCACACCAUGAGAGUUGGGAAUACCCGAAGCCUGUGAGCUAACUUAUAGAGGCAGCAGUCGAAGGUAGAAUCAAUGAUUGGGGUGAAGUCGUAACAAGGUAGC